rnacentral:rRNA from 1 species
GGUCAAGCGAAUAAGCGCACACGGUGGAUGCCUAGGCGGUCAGAGGCGAUGAAGGACGUGGUAGCCUGCGAAAAGUGUCGGGGAGCUGGCAACAAGCUUUGAUCCGGCAAUAUCCGAAUGGGGAAACCCACUGCUUCGGCAGUAUCCUGCAGUGAAUUCAUAGCUGCUGGAAGCGAACCCGGUGAACUGAAAUAUCUAAGUAACCGGAGGAAAAGAAAUCAACCGAGAUUCCCUAAGUAGUGACGAGCGAACGGGGAGCAGCCCUUAAGCUGGAAUGGCUUUAGAAAAACAAUCUGGAAAGAUUGGCCAUAGAAGGUGAUAGCCCUGUAUUUAAAAGGGCCACUCCAGUGAAGACGAGUAGGGCGGGGCACGUGAAACCCUGUCUGAAUAUGGGGGGACCAUCCUCCAAGGCUAAAUACUCCUGACCGACCGAUAGUGAACCAGUACCGUGAGGGAAAGGCGAAAAGAACCCCGGAGAGGGGAGUGAAAUAGAUCCUGAAACCGUGUGCGUACAAGCAGUAGGAGCUCGCAAGAGUGACUGCGUACCUUUUGUAUAAUGGGUCAGCGACUUACUGUUCGUGGCAAGCUUAACCGUAUAGGGGAGGCGAAGGGAAACCGAGUCUGAUAAGGGCGCAUAGUCGCGGGCAGUAGACCCGAAACCGGGUGAUCUAGUCAUGGCCAGGGUGAAGGUGCCGUAACAGGUACUGGAGGCCCGAACCCACGUCUGUUGCAAAAGACGGGGAUGAGCUGUGAUUAGGAGUGAAAAGCUAAUCGAACCCGGAGAUAGCUGGUUCUCCUCGAAAGCUAUUUAGGUAGCGCCUCAUAUGUAUCCUCUCGGGGGUAGAGCACUGUUAUGGCUAGGGGGUCAUCGCGACUUACCAAACCAUUGCAAACUCCGAAUACCGAGACGGACUGUAUGGGAGACACACGGCGGGUGCUAACGUCCGUCGUGAAAAGGGAAACAACCCAGACCCACAGCUAAGGUCCCAAAUUCACUGCUAAGUGGAAAACGAUGUGGAAAGGCAUAGACAGCCAGGAGGUUGGCUUAGAAGCAGCCACCCUUUAAAGAAAGCGUAAUAGCUCACUGGUCGAGUCGGUCUGCGCGGAAGAUUUAACGGGGCUAAGCAGUGAACCGAAGCUUGGGGUGCAUAAAACUUGUUUUAUGCGCGGUAGAGGAGCGUUCCGUAAGCCUGCGAAGGUGGAUUGAGAAGUCUGCUGGAGGUAUCGGAAGUGCGAAUGCUGACAUGAGUAACGAUAAUGCGGGUGAAAAGCCCGCACGCCGAAAGCCCAAGGUUUCCUUGCGCAACGUUAAUCGACGCAGGGUUAGUCGGUCCCUAAGGCGAGGGCGAAAGCCGUAGUCGAUGGGAAGCAGGUUAAUAUUCCUGCACCUCGCGUGAGUGCGAUGGAGGGACGGAGAAGGUUAGGUGUACCGGGCGUUGGUUGCCCCGGGGAAAGGCGGUAGGUUUGGAUCUUUGGCAAAUCCGGGAUCCUUUAAGACCGAGCACCGAGACGAGCCUUUAUGGCGAAGUCACUGAUACCACGCUUCCAGGAAAAGCUCCUAAGCUUCAGCUCACGAAGACCGUACCGUAAACCGACACAGGUGGGUAGGAUGAGAAUUCUCAGGCGCUUGAGAGAACUCGGGUGAAGGAACUAGGCAACAUGGCACCGUAACUUCGGGAGAAGGUGCACCCUUUUUGGUGGCUCGUGCGAGCUAUAGCUGAAGAGGGUCGCAGAAACCAGGCCGCUGCGACUGUUUAUCAAAAACACAGCACUCUGCAAACACGAAAGUGGACGUAUAGGGUGUGACGCCUGCCCGGUGCUGGAAGGUUAAUUGAUGGGGUCAGCCGCAAGGCGAAGCUCUUGAUCGAAGCCCCAGUAAACGGCGGCCGUAACUAUAACGGUCCUAAGGUAGCGAAAUUCCUUGUCGGGUAAGUUCCGACCUGCACGAAUGGCGUAACGACAGCGGCGCUGUCUCCACCCGAGACUCAGUGAAAUUGAAAUCGCUGUGAAGAUGCAGCGUUCCCGUGGCAAGACGGAAAGACCCCGUGAACCUUUACUAUAGCUUUACACUGAACGUUGAGUUCGUCUGUGUAGGAUAGGUGGGAGGCUAUGAAACUGUGGCGCUAGCUGCAGUGGAGCCAUCCUUGAAAUACCACCCUGUCGUGCUUGACGUUCUAACCUAGGUCCGUUAUCCGGAUCAGGGACCGUGUAUGGUGGGUAGUUUGACUGGGGCGGUCUCCUCCUAAAGAGUAACGGAGGAGCACGAAGGUACGCUCAGCGCGGUCGGACAUCGCGCACUGUGUGCAAAGGCAUAAGCGUGCUUGACUGCAAGAUCGACGGAUCAAGCAGGUACGAAAGUAGGUCUUAGUGAUCCGGUGGUUCUGUAUGGAAGGGCCAUCGCUCAACGGAUAAAAGGUACUCCGGGGAUAACAGGCUGAUACCGCCCAAGAGUUCAUAUCGACGGCGGUGUUUGGCACCUCGAUGUCGGCUCAUCACAUCCUGGGGCUGUAGUCGGUCCCAAGGGUAUGGCUGUUCGCCAUUUAAAGUGGUACGCGAGCUGGGUUCAGAACGUCGUGAGACAGUUCGGUCCCUAUCUGCCAUGGGCGUUGGAAGUUUGAGAGGGGCUGCUCCUAGUACGAGAGGACCGGAGUGGACGAACCUCUGGUGUUCCGGUUGUCACGCCAGUGGCAUUGCCGGGUAGCUAUGUUCGGAAGCGAUAACCGCUGAAAGCAUCUAAGCGGGAAGCGCGCCUCAAGAUGAGACUUCCCGGGGCACAAGCCCCCUAAAGGAACCAUGUAGACUACGUGGUUGAUAGGUCAGGUGUGUAAGUACAGCAAUGUAUUGAGCUAACUGAUACUAAUGAUCCGUGCGGCUUGACCAU